rnacentral:rRNA from 1 species
GUGGGGAAUAUUGGACAAUGGGGGGAACCCUGAUCCAGCCAUGCCGCGUGUGUGAAGAAGGCCUUUUGGUUGUAAAGCACUUUAAGCGAGGAGGAGGCUACCGAGAUUAAUACUCUUGGAUAGUGGACGUUACUCGCAGAAUAAGCACCGGCUAACUCUGUGCCAGCAGCCGCGGUAAUACAGAGGGUGCAAGCGUUAAUCGGAUUUACUGGGCGUAUAGCGCGCGUAGGUGGCCAAUUAAGUCAAAUGUGAAAUCCCCGAGCUUAACUUGGGAAUUGCAUUCGAUACUGGUUGGCUAGAGUAUGGGAGAGGAUGGUAGAAUUCCAGGUGUAGCGGUGAAAUGCGUAGAGAUCUGGAGGAAUACCGAUGGCGAAGGCAGCCAUCUGGCCUAAUACUGACACUGAGGUGCGAAAGCAUGGGGAGCAAACAGGAUUAGAUACCCUAGUAGUCC